AUGCAGCAGUCGGCUCGACUCCUCCUUCAGGACCAACCAGGCAUUGGUCCACCGAGCUCCUGCUACACCCUCCCCCGCCCCAGCCUUUUCAGAAACCACCCUGAGCUUGGAACAGAGCUCUGAAGUGGUCAAAGUGAGAUGAGCAGGACAGGCGGAGCCAUUCUCCACUGCCACAUCCCUCAUGCACGUCACUCGUCUCCCACUGCAGGCCAAGGCCAAAACUGGCCUAGGCCUGGCCAGGGAAAUCAGCAGCUCUUCUUGGAUGAGAGUGUGCCUCCUAUUGCUCCCUGGCGAUCCAGAGGCUAGGCUGCAGCCCAUUCAGCUUGCAGGCAAAACACAUGCUCUCUUCUCUCCUGACAGCUGAGCAAGCCCAGGGAAUAGCCCUCCUCUCUCCAGCAAGCUUCUCUGAAAUCUUAGACUCAGCCGUUCUUAGGCCUAUGAUGGUACACAAAGGUUGUCCAGGGAGAAGGGGGUGUAGGAGGGCAGAUGGUGCCCCACAGGGAGCUGGUGGCUUCAGCCCCCCUAGAGCUCCUAAAGAUCACACAGCAGCUGCUCCUGAUGGGGGUGCUUAUGCACAGAAAGAAACCCCAGGAGAGGCAGGCGGAGCGAGACAGAGCAGAGCCAGGGCCAGGGGCACAAGGAGAGGCGUUUCUGGGGCUUUGGGGAAGUGCCACAGGAGGCAGAAGUCCAGAACUGCCCAUAUAGAUGCCCUUCUAUGUCCUGGAGCCCAAAUCAGUCAUGUAAGUGGGAAGUUCCCAGGACAGUGGCCAUAUCGUGAGAAUGAGCAGGAAAGGCUGGCCCCAGAGGUGUUUAAUAAAGCUGGAGACUGAACAAAGGCCUGUGCUGAGACCCACAGACCUGGCCUAAGCUCCUGGCUAGCCUGCCUGGCCCACCUCACAGGCCACCCUGAGCCCUGCUCCCUAAAAACCUGCAUCUUCCCCUGCUUGUCAAGGUGCACCCUGCAGUGUGAUGCACAGCUCAGGGUUUUAGGAGGUCACCAGAUCUCUCUGGGCUUCAGUCUCCCACAUGUAAAAUAAGGCACUUUGACCAGAUUGUUUCCAAAACUCUUUCACCUCUAAUACACUGUGAGCUUGGCAGCCCCUCUGGAGGAAGGAGGAGUUGACUCCAGAAAACUGACACUUAACAGGAGUAACUGCAGAGCUUUUGCCCUUGAGGCUAAGGGCCCCUGGCUAACUGCCACUGCUGGCAGCAGCCGCUGUGCCCAAGACAUGGGGACUGAGGUGAUGCAGCCCACCAUCCACCCCUGUGCCUCUCAGGGGAUGCAGCUGAGGUCAGGCUAAAAGAAGCAAGGGACUCUGCACUGUGUGGCCACUUGCAGACACAGACCAAUUGGGUCAGGAUGGCAGAGGGUUUCUAGAUCAAGCCUGCUGGGCCACAGCUGGAAGAAGCAGGAGUUAUAACCCAGAAGUGGAAAGACCUGGGGCAGAGGGAGUGUCGCUGUCAGAUUUCAACUUAACCUGAAGAACUUAGCAGAGACGGAAGGGCCUGCCCUAGAAAGUGAUGAGCCCCUUGUUGCUGGAGCUGUGCAAAUGGUGGCUGCACUAUCACAUGACAGGGUCACGGGAUGGGCCAGAUGACCAGAUGAUCCCUUUCACCCCAAUCAGGCUAUGAACUUUGAGAACUGGGAACAAAAAAGUCUAAUCUGGGUUCUCAUCAUAGCUAUUUCUGAGGAUGAAAUGGGAGACCUAUGCCCAGCACUGAUGUCAGUUUAUAUAAUGUAAUGCUGUGUAUCUACCACUAAGAAACACAUGAACCGCACCGCGUGGACAGGAAGUGUUCACAAAGCCACAUGAGGCAAGAAACAGUGCCGGGUGCCCAGCACAUGCACUAGAGAGAAGCUACAGACAUUAGGACAAGGAGAGUUGGUGUCUUUCUAAAACGUUCUUACUUAAAAACGUGUCCCCACUUACUAACAUGAAUUACACAGUUUGCAAGAAGAAAAGUCUUUCCCAUUCUCUAGUGCUGCUCCCCCACCCAGCAGUCACUUCCAGUUCUUUCAGGUAUUUUAAAAAUGUGCUUAUAUGACUCCUGCUUGAUUUAUCAAUCUUAGACAUUACCUGUUGACUCCCUGUUGUCAUACAUGAGGCUUUAGCUCUUGUACCCCUCCCCCAUCCCUAGUUUUUAGAUUAAAAAAAAACACUCAGAAUACUAUUUCUAUUAUUAUGUGAAAGUUAUUAACUGCAGAGCCAAGAAUUGGAAUAUAAUUAAAUUCACUUUGUUGUACUUU